UACGUAGGGUGCAAGGCGUUGUCCGGAAUUUAUUGGGCGUAAAGAGCUCGUAGGCGGUCUGUCGCGUCGGCUGUGAAAACCCGAGGCUCAACCUCGGGCCUGCAGUGGGUACGGGCAGACUAGAGUGCGGUAGGGGAGAUUGGAAUUCCUGGUGUAGCGGUGGAAUGCGCAGAUAUCAGGAGGACACCGAUGGCGAAGGCAGAUCUCUGGGCCGUAACUGACGGCUGAGGAGCGAAAGCAUGGGGGAGCGAACAGG
rnacentral:rRNA from 1 species